rnacentral:rRNA from 1 species
GAUGAACGCUGGCGGCGUGCCUAAUACAUGCAAGUCGAGCGAACGGACGAGAAGCUUGCUUCUCUGAUGUUAGCGGCGGACGGGUGAGUAACACGUGGAUAACCUACCUAUAAGACUGGGAUAACUUCGGGAAACCGGAGCUAAUACCGGAUAAUAUUUUGAACCGCAUGGUUCAAAAGUGAAAGACGGUCUUGCUGUCACUUAUAGAUGGAUCCGCGCUGCAUUAGCUAGUUGGUAAGGUAACGGCUUACCAAGGCAACGAUGCAUAGCCGACCUGAGAGGGUGAUCGGCCACACUGGAACUGAGACACGGUCCAGACUCCUACGGGAGGCAGCAGUAGGGAAUCUUCCGCAAUGGGCGAAAGCCUGACGGAGCAACGCCGCGUGAGUGAUGAAGGUCUUCGGAUCGUAAAACUCUGUUAUUAGGGAAGAACAUAUGUGUAAGUAACUGUGCACACCUUGACGGUACCUAAUCAGAAAGCCACGGCUAACUACGU